rnacentral:rRNA from 1 species
UCAAGCAAAAAAGAGCGCAGGGUGGAUGCCUUGGCACUAAGAGCCGAUGAAAGACGUGAUAAGCUGCGAAAAGCUGCGGGGAGGAGCAAAUAUCCACUGAUCCGCAGAUAUCUGAAUGGGGAAACCCGCAUGAGCAACCCUCAUGCAUCCAUACGCCAAUCCAUAACGUAUGGAGGGGAACCGCCUGAACUGAAACAUCUAAGUAGGGCGAGGAAGAGAAAGAAAAUUUAUCGAUUUCCAAAGUAGCGGCGAGCGAAAUGGAAAGAGGCCAAACCGGAGUGCGUGCACUCCGGGGUUCGGACCGCAUUUAAGAUCUGAUGAUCCUAGCAGAAAGGUUUUGGGAAAGCCUGCCGUAGAGGGUGAAAGCCCCGUAAGCGAAAGGAAAGCCAGCUGAGCGGUAUCCAGAGUACAUCGAGACACGAGAAACCUUGAUGGAAUGAGCGGGGACCACCCCGUAAGCCUAAAUACUCCUUAGUGACCGAUAGCGCAUAGUACUGUGAAGGAAAGGUGAAAAGGACCCCGGGAGGGGAGUGAAAGAGAACCUGAAACCCUGUGUUUACAAGCUGUGGGACAUCUUUACAUGAUGAACCGCGUACUUUUUGUAGAACGGUCCGGCGAGUUGCGGAUGCCGGCAAGGUUAAGCACUUAAGGUGUGGAGCCGAAGGGAAACCAAGUCUGAAGAGGGCGCAUAUAGUCAGUAUCCGCAGACCCGAAACCGGGUGAUCUACCCAUGUCCAGGUUGAAGUUGCCGUAAAAGGCAAUGGAGGACCGAACGCACAUCCGUUGAAAAGGGUGGCGAUGAGGUGUGGGUAGGGGAGAAAUUCCAAUCGAACCCGGAGAUAGCUGGUUCUCCUCGAAAUAGCUUUAGGGCUAGCCUCGUUUUAGUCUUAUGGAGGUAGAGCACUGAAUUUCCGCGGGGGCGUCAAAGCUUACCAAAGAAUAUCAAACUCCGAAUGCCAUGUAGAUGAUGAACGGGAGUCAGACUGCACGAGAUAAGUUGGGCAGUCAAAAGGGAAAGAGCCCAGACCGCCAGCCAAGGUCCCAAAGUGUGUGUUAAGUGGAAAAGGAUGUGGGAUCUCCAAGACAACUAGGAUGUUGGCUCAGAAGCAGCCACACAUUCAAAGAGUGCGUAACAGCUCACUAGUCGAGAGGUCCUGCGCCGAAAAUGUCCGGGGCUGAAACACAACACCGAAGCUGCGGAAUUGCGAAUGCAAUUGGUAGAGGAGCAUUCUUAAUACCGACGAAGCUGUACCGGAAGGAGCAGUGGAGGGAUAAGAAGAGAGAAUGCCGGAAUGAGUAGCGAGAGAGAGGUGGGAAUCCUCUCGGCCGAAUAUCCAAGGUUUCCAGAGUAAAGCUGAUCUGCUCUGGGUAAGUCGGGGCCUAAGGCGAGGUCAAAAGACGUAGCCGAUGGACAACAGGUUUAGAUUCCUGUACCGCAUAUAAACAGAACUGUGGGGACGCAUGGGGAGAGCAUGGGCCGGGAAUGGAAAUACCGGUGCAAGCGAAGGAGGUGUGCAGCCGGCAAAUCCGCUGCAUGAGCCGAAAGCGUGACGCGGAGCGAAAUGAAAGUAGCGAAGCAUGUGAGCCCUGUGCCGAGAAAAGCCGCUAUAGCUUUAUAUGUGCCCGUACCGUAAACCGACACAGGUGGAUGAGGAGAGAAUCCUAAGGCCGGCGGAAGAAGUAUUGUUAAGGAACUCGGCAAAAUGACCCCGUAACUUCGGGAGAAGGGGUGCCCACGGGAGUGGGCCGCAGAGAAUAGGCUCAAGCAACUGUUUAGCAAAAACACAGGUCUAUGCGAAACCGAAAGGUGAAGUAUAUGGGCUGACGCCUGCCCGGUGCUGGAAGGUUAAGAGGAGAGGUCAGCGCAAGCGAAGCUUUGAAUUUAAGCCCCAGUAAACGGCGGCCGUAACUAUAACGGUCCUAAGGUAGCGAAAUUCCUUGUCGGGUAAGUUCCGACCCGCACGAAAGGCGUAAUGAUUUGAGCACUGUCUCGACAAUGCAUCCG